rnacentral:lncRNA from 1 species
GUUGAGGCUGAAAGGUUAUGCAAGAACAUUAGUUACUGACUGAGCUGAGAUGAGAAAUUGACAUUACUCUACAACAAAGAAUCGAUUAAGAGGGAGUUAUAAUCGAUUAUGAGUCGUCAUUUGGUUUGAAGUUUCUGAACUUCUGAUUUAUAAAAUUUAAACCAUGACUUAUUAUCCGUUAUCUGUUUAUUCAUCUUAUAUCUCAAUGUUUUUAAUCCGCUGUGAAUAUGAGUUGAGAUUAUAAGUGAUUAAACUGUUUUGAUUGGUUCAUAAUAUGUCAAACUGCUCUGAUAUGAUAUGAUUUAAAUUACUCUGAUACAUUGUUUGGACAUAUAUGAUUGAUACAUACU